rnacentral:rRNA from 1 species
GGUACGCUGGCGGCAUGCCACCAGACUGCAAAGUUGAACGGGUUUAAGCUCCAUUCGCACUUAAACAAGUAGCGGACGGGUGAGUAACGCGUAAGAACCUACCUUUAGGUAAGGAAUAACUAUUGGAAACGAUAGAUAAUACCUUAUAAGCUUAUACGUAAAAGAUAAAAUCGCCUAAGGAUGGGCUUGCGUCUGAUUAGCUUGUCGGUGAUUUACAAAGAUUCACCAAGGCAACGAUCAGUAGUUGGUCUAAGAGGAUGAUCAACCACACUGGGACUGAGACACGGCCCAGACCUCUACGGAGGGCAGCAGUGAGGAAUUUUCCGCAAUGGGCGAAAGCCUGACGGAGCAAUGCCGCGUGGAGGAUGAAAGCUUGUGAGUCGUACACUCCUUUUCUUAGUGAAGAACUAAGACGGUAUCUAAGGAAUAAGCAUCGGCUAACUCCGUGCCAGCAGCCGCGGUCAUACGGAG